rnacentral:rRNA from 1 species
AGCAGUCGCCACGGUAAUACGUAGGUGGCAAGCGUUGUCGGAAUUACUGGGCGUAAAGCGUGCGCAGGCGGUUGUGUAAGACAGGUGUGAAAUCCCCGGGCUUAACCUGGGAACUGCGCUUGUGACUGCACAGCUAGAGUAUGGCAGAGGGGGGUGGAAUUCCACGUGUAGCAGUGAAAUGCGUAGAGAUGUGGAGGAACACCGAUGGCGAAGGCAGCCCCCUGGGCCAAUACUGACGCUCAUGCACGAAAGCGUGGGGAGCAAACAGGAUUAGAUACCCCUGUAGUCCCUGUCUCUUAUACC